GACGAACGCUGGCGGCGUGCCUAACACAUGCAAGUCGAGCGGAAAGGCGCUGCUUUUGUGGGGUGCUCGAGUGGCGAACGGGUGUGUAACACGUGAGUAACCUGCCCUUGACUUUGUGAUAACUUCAGGAGACUGGGGCUAAUACCGGAGAGGAGCUCCUGAAGCAUGGGGGGGGUUGGAAAGUUUCGGCGGUUGUGGCUGGACGCGCGGCUUAUCAGCUUGUUGGUGGGGUAGUGGCUUACACAGGCUUUGAAGGGUAGCCGGCCUGGGAGGGGGGCCAGCGACAUUGGGACUGCGGUACGGCGCAGUCGCCUACGGGAGGCAGUGGGGGGGAAUAUUGCACAGCGGGCGCGAGCCUGUGGCAGCGACCCCGCGUUCGGAAUGACGUCUUUCGGGUUGUAAACCGCUUUCGCCUGUGACGAAGCGUGAGUGACGGUACCGGGUAAAGAAGCACCGGCUAACUACGUG
rnacentral:rRNA from 1 species